rnacentral:rRNA from 1 species
GUGCCGAGCCGCCCGGUAAUACCGGCAGCUCAAGUGAUGUCCCAUAUUAUUGGGCCUAAAGCGUCCGUAGCUGGCCGACCAAGUCUCCCGGGAAAUCCACCCGCCCAACGGGUGGGCGUCCGGUAGAAACUGGCCGGCUUGGAACCGGAAGGCUCAGAGAGUACGUCCGGGGUAGGAGUGAAAUCCCGUAAUCCCGCACGGACCACCGAUGGCGAAAGCACUUCGAGAAAACGGAUCCGACAGUGAGGGACGAAAGCCAGGGUCUCCAACCGGAUUAGAAACCCCGGUAGUCC